UGGGAGAUGUUUUCUUCAAAGGAACUGGCC
rnacentral:piRNA from 1 species